rnacentral:sRNA from 1 species
CCUACUGGAACAGGAGAGCGAUGCCCUCUGUCCGUAAGUACCGCACAGGCAGCAGCCACACCAGCUUUCCUCCACCACCCUGCAAGUGUGCCUCUGUCAUGACCUAGUGGGAGCCCCACAAGGAGGAGUGGGGAGUUCAGUCUCCGUGGCCCAUUUGAUCCUUGUCCUCU